GAUGAACGCUGGCGGCGUGCUUAACACAUGCAAGUCGAACGAGGUCCAACCUUCGGGUGAAGACCUAGUGGCGAACGGGUGAGUAACACGUGGGGAACCCGCCCUUCUCUCUGGGAUAACGUCGAGAAAUCGGUGCUAAUACCGGAUACUCCUUGGGGAUCGCAUGGUCUGCUCGGGAAAGCUCCGGCGGAGAUGGAUGGCCCCGCGGCCCAUUAGCUAGUUGGGGAGGUAACGGCCCACCAAGGCGACGAUGGGUAGCCGAGCUGAGAGGCUGAUCGGGCACACUGGGACUGAGACACGGCCCAGACUCCUACGGGAGGCAGCAGUGGGGAAUUUUGCACAAUGGGCGCAAGCCUGAUGCAGCAACGCCGCGUGCGGGAUGAAGGCCCUCGGGUUGUAAACCGCUUUCAGCAGGGACGAAACUGACGGUACCUGCAGAAGAAGCCCCGGCUAACUCUGUGCCAGCCGCCGCAGUAACAC
rnacentral:rRNA from 1 species